rnacentral:rRNA from 1 species
GAUGAACGCUGGCGGCGUGCCUAAUACAUGCAAGUCGAGCGAACAGACGAGGAGCUUGCUCCUCUGACGUUAGCGGCGGACGGGUGAGUAACACGUGGAUAACCUACCUAUAAGACUGGGAUAACUUCGGGAAACCGGAGCUAAUACCGGAUAAUAUAUUGAACCGCAUGGUUCAAUAGUGAAAGACGGUUUUGCUGUCACUUAUAGAUGGAUCCGCGCCGCAUUAGCUAGUUGGUAAGGUAACGGCUUACCAAGGCAACGAUGCGUAGCCGACCUGAGAGGACGGUAGGGCAGAGUGGAACUGAGACACGGUCGAGACUCCUACGGGCGGCAGCAGUAGGGAUUCGUCCGCAAUGGGCGAAAUCUUGAAGGAGCAACGCCGCGUGAGUGAGAAUGGUCUUCGGAUCGUAACACUCUGUUAUUAGGGAAGAAAAAAUGUGUAAGUAACUAUGCACGUCUUCACGUGACCUAAUCAGAAAGCCACGGCUAACUACGUG